rnacentral:rRNA from 1 species
UACGUAGGGUGCGAGCGUUAAUCGGAAUUACUGGGCGUAAAGCGUGCGCAGGCGGUUCGUCGUGUCCGAUGUGAAAUCCCCGGGCUCAACCUGGGAACUGCAUCCGAAACUGCCUUGCUCGAGUAUGGGAGAGGGAAGUGGAAUUUCCGGUGUAGCGGUGAAAUGCGUAGAUAUCGGAAGGAACAUCAGUGGCGAAGGCGACUUCCUGGACCAAUACUGACGCUCAGGUGCGAAAGCGUGGGGAGCAAACAGG